GGUCCUUCAUUUUCGCUUGCAGCGAGGAGGCAGUGGACGGGUCUGUUGUUUCUAUAAACGCCUUCACCUUUUCGUUCAUGGCAUUAAUGCUGCUUUGACGACCCGUAAUAUCCUGCUCCAGCAUCUGAAAUACAGCGAUUGUUGUAUACAUUGCCUAACGACGUCUACAAAUAAAGCUGCAGAGUCUUGAAAAAGAUUCCCCACAGCAAUACAAUGCUGCCAGAAAGAAGUUUUAAGUCACUGCUGUAACCCAUGAAAUAAUGAACAUUUAACGGCAGAAAAGGCCAGUUGUGAAGUCUAGCAUUCAGAGGCUAACAUGGAAGGAUUGCCAUGAGUUCAAGACCAGCAGGGAGUCCACCGUUAUUCUCAGGCUAACUGGGCUAAUGAGCAAGACCUUGUCUUAAAAAUGAUGAAAAAACAAAAAGAAAAAAUGAAAGGAAAACAUCAAAAGGCCAGAAACACAACAGGACAGUCUUUCUCCUCCACACCUCCAGGCUCGGGUUCCCACUCUGAGGACAGUUUCCCAUGGGAGCUUUUAAGACGAUGUAUCGAAACAGAAGAAUAAAACCUUAAGGGCCAGCACUCACACAUUCUUCAUAUGCCUUAAAAUUUGUAGUUUUAUGUUUUAUGAUUAUAAAUUGUGUGAUAAAAUGCACGUGUAAUUUAUGAAUACAUGUGCCAUGAAAUUACUUAUUGAUCAUAGUCACGAUCAAGAAUGCUUGCGUGUCUCUAAGAAUGGAGAAGAGUUAUGGAGUGGUUCUCUAUUCACAGAAGAUUUCCACUAAGACUUUAACUCGGCUGUAUUCGGGGGAACCAUAGGAACCGUCAUCUGGAAGAUGUUUUGAAUUUCAUCCACACAGGCAGAGAUCAUGAACCAAACAGCUUCCAUCUGGGAACACUUUCUCCUUAUCUAUAAGACACCCCUAUUUACCCAUGAGACUGGAAACAAGAGCUAAGACCUCACCAAGGGUCUUCUGGAUGUCAUUCUUGGCGGGCAGCAGCGAGCCCCCGGCAUCUAAGAGCACUUCUGCCGUUUUCUUCAGCUUCUCCACAGCAACCUGCUGGCUGGAUAUCUGUCCUUGCAGAGCCUGUGGGGCGGAGUGGAUUCCGUCAGGUUCAGGACUAACAAGUUCCCAAUAAGGAAAAAUGGUAAUCUAAAUCGGAUCGAAUAAACGAUACAAUACACAGAC